UCUUGAAAUAAGGAGGCUGCUGCUCGUAGUUUGGGGGCUUCUGCUGGUGUUCAGGAAGCUGAUGCGGCUGGUAGCUAGAUACUAAAGAUCUAAUAAAAAGACUCCAUACUGAACUGUAACGUUGCAUUAGACCAAAGCAGCGGCUCCUGAAAAGGCAUCAAAAUAGGUUUCUGAAUUUGCUGCUGGCAUUCAGCCUAGCCAAUGACCAAUUUGACUAUUUAAAAGUGAUAUUUUUAUUCUUUUGUCAAAUUUGGACCGUAGAACCAUGUCAUGGCAGGAACACAAUUGAGAACUUUAUACCAUUGAAGGAUUUGAUGGAAUUUUCAAUGAAGCAAAGUUACAGAAUGCAAACUUCUCAACUUCUGAGUUGCUGCUGGGGCUUGUAGCUAGGAUGCUUGUAGCUUGGAUGCUGCGGCUGCGGCUGGGGCUUGUAGCUAGGAGGCUGCUGGGGCUUGUAGCUAGAAUGCUGCUGGGGCUUGUAGCUAGGAUGCUUGCAGGGGCUGCUGCGGCUUGUAGCUAGGAUGUUGCUGCUGCUGCUGCUGCUGGGGCUUGUAGCCAGGAUGCUGCUGCUGGCUGGGGCUUGUAGCUAGGAUGUUGCUGCUGCUGCUGCUGCUUGGGCUGGGGCUUGUAGCUAGGAUGUUGCUGCUGCUGGGCUUGUAGCUGGGAUGUUGCUGCUGCUGGGGCUUGUAGCUAGGAUGUUGCUGCUGCUGGGGCUUGUAGCUAGGAUGUUGCUGCUGCUGGGGCUUGUAGCUAGGAUGUUGCUGCUGCUGCUGCUGGGGCUUGUAGCUAGGGCUGCUGCUGCUGCUGCUGGGCUUGUAGCUAGGAUGUUGCUGCUGCUGCUGCUGGGGCUUGUAGCUAGGAUGUUGCUGCUGCUGCUGCUGCUGGGGCUUGUAGCUAGGAUGUUGCUGCUGCUGCUGCUGGCUUGUAGCUGCUGCUGUUGCUGCUGCUGCUGGGGCUUGUAGCUAGGAUGUUGCUGCUGCUGCUGCUGCUUGCUGCUGCUGCU
ensembl:lncRNA